UAACGGUUUGUUUUUCUCUCAUUGUGGUGACUUAGCUACCUGGAGCUAAAAGACUUCACCAACCAUAGCUACCAUGGUUUUAACAGAAAGCAGCAGGCAUGGAGGCAAAUUAGUGCGCUACUUGAGAUUUUGGGAAGAGCACGCAAUGAGGAAGAGUGGGAAUGAGUUGGAGUCGCUGAGGUCCAGAGCCACCGGGAAAGAGGAUUGCUUUCACCUUACAUAAACAGAUUGGAACCUCUUGGGAGCGUGUUGCUUUCAGGAAGCCUUAAAAUGAGUGGUGUUCCAGAAAAGAAAGAGAUGGACAACAUGUGUACUAAAAUAUACACAUUUUACUGCAGCUAUCGGGACAUGCCAGCUCACAGUACAGCUACUGUGGUAUUGUGCUUGCAACGCAAAACAUUGAGUAUCAUCCUUUUGUUUUCUCUAAGGAGGGACGUGGGUUCAGAUAGCAGCAAGGAGAGAGAGAUGGGAUAAAAGGGAGUACAUCCUCCAUGAUCACAUGAAAGAAAGUGCAUUGUAGUUUUCACCAUCACAGCAUAUUACACACUCUCCUCGCAUCCCCGUGGUGUUUACAGUAACCUUGUGCACAAGGAGUAGAAAAUACAACGCAAAA